CAUUUUAGAGUAAAUUUAACCAAUAAUCACUGAACUUUACACUUGAUUACUACUUGCUCACUCAUCUUUCACAUAUUACUGAAUGCUCACUCAUCUUUUCAUAUAAUUACUCAUUCACCACUCGUCUCUUCAAAUAAUUGGACUACUUUUACGGCAAAUUUUCGACAACUUCCGACCACAAAGAAUGUCGAAUUUUGAUACCGUUGGAAAGCCCACGAUGUCCUCUUCAAUUACCACCCAAAAUCUCAUUAUAACUCCAAGGGAUUCGAUCGAAAAAUUGUCUUAAAAGUCGCCCAAAAAUUCUAAAAAUCUGCCCAGAUUUUCAGAUUUUUUGGGCGACUUUUAAGACAAUUUUUCGGCAACUUUCUACCAUCAAAACUAUCUAAUUUUGAUACCAUUGGAAAGCUCACAAUGUCCUCUUCAAUUACCACCCAAAAUUUCCCGAUAACUCCAAAGGAUUUGGUCGGAAUAAACCCACAAAGUCAGCAUCCCGAACUUUGUCCAGAUUUUCGCAUUUCCAAGUUGCUGAUUUUGUGGGUUUAUUCCGACCGAAUCCUUUCGAGUUAUGGGAAAAUUUUGGAUGGUAAUUGAAGAGGACAUUGUAGGCUUUCCAAUGGUAUCAAAAUUCGAUAGUUUUGAUGGUCGAAAGUUGCCGAAAAAUUGCCUUAAAAGUCGCC
rnacentral:lncRNA from 1 species